rnacentral:rRNA from 1 species
GACGAUCGCUGGCGGCGUGCUUAACACAUGCACGUCGAACGAAGUUGCGAACGGGUGAGUAAUACGUGGGUAACCUGCCCUCCUUUUUGGGCUAAGCCUUGGCAACGGGGUCUAAUACCGACUAAAGGGGGAUGGGCUCGCGGCCUAUCAGCUUCUGGGUGGGGGGAGGGCCUACCAAGGCGGUGACGGGUAGCCGGCCUGAGAGGGGGACCGGCAACAGUGGGACGGAGAUACGGCCCAGACGCCUACGGGAGGAAGCAGUGGGGGAUAUUGAACAAUGGUCGAAAGCCGGAUGCAGCGACGCAGCGUGGGGGAUGAAGGCGGUCGGGUUGUAAACCUCUGUCGCGAUCGAACGGGUAGGUGUAGAAGAAGCGCCGGCUAACUACGUGCCAGCAGCCGCGGUAAUAC